rnacentral:rRNA from 1 species
UACGUAGGGGGCAAGCGUUGUUCGGAUUCAUUGGGCGUAAAGGGUGCGUAGGCGGCGCGGUAAGUCGGGUGUGAAAUCUUGGAGCUUAACUCCGAAACUGCAUUCGAUACUGCCGUGCUUUGAGGACUGGAGAGGAGACUGGAAUUUACGGUGUAGCGGUGAAAUGCGUAGAUAUCGUAAGGAAGACCAGUGGCGAAGGCGGGUCUCUGGACCGGUUCUGACGCUGAUGCGCGAAAGCGUGGGGAGCAAACGGG